AAUAGGAACACUGAUUUUAUAUUCAGAAACAGCAACGGAACAGUUCAAGUUCCACAAAUAAAUAUAAUCUACAAAACAAACCAAGUUGACAAUAAUGGACAGAAACUAAUCAACCUGGGGUGCACGGCUACAACAUACACUUAUUUGCAACGCUGCUCCCUUUCCUGAAGCAUCAGCGUUUCUCAUGGGUGAAUUAUUACUUUUUUGAACAAUCUGAAUGGUGAAAUGGGAGGGCGAUGGCCAGAAAGGGCGAUCCCAGGGACCAGCCAACGAUCUACAACAGCAAUGACACAGAGUACCAGGGACCAGCCAACAUCCACAACAGCCAGUCAGCCCAUGUUCAGCUGAUCAAUCGUCAUUCGGGGACGCUUUGCAGCUGCGGCGGCCACGGCGUUCAGCUGGAAAGAAACCC
rnacentral:lncRNA from 1 species